CUUUAAUUUAUAGUUUUUAGGAGAGCGAUCGUUCUUCUCAUUAUUUUUGGUUAAAUAUUCUUAUUUGUUGUUUAUUUAAUAGUUUGUUUGGAUAAAGACGUAAAAAAAAAAAAAAAAAAAAAAAGCCAGCUUGGUGCCAUAGACCGAGUCCAAAAGAAAUUAACUGCUCUGCUGCACAUAUUGGAGCAGGGAGUUUGCGGAGAAUGCAGCUCUGCUAAUGGACUGGCAAACUUAUAAAGGCUGUAAAGAUUCCAUAGAACCACGCUCUGCCUAAUUUUAUUAAUUAACCCUCAUUGCUUUGUACAAAGGUUGUCCUGGCUAUGGAAUAAAUGAGCGAAAAGGCUGGCCAGUGGGCAUUAAGCGUAAUUUUACGCUUAGCGCUGCAGAGGACUGGGGCUCGCAGGCUUUGGGUUGUUUUAUUUUAUUUUAUUUUAUUUUUCCUCACACACAUCCUUCCUGUCCUGGUGCUGACAUGGAAACACGGCAAGGAGCCGCACCCCACCCCACAGGCCGUGGCUGAGGCACGGAUGGAAGAAGUCAGUGGCAGAGGCAGAAGAAGGGGCCGCAGCACCCAGCUCCUCAUCAGCGCGUCCUGGCGAGCUGUAUCUAAACGGUGCCGAGCUGAGAGACAGGGCAAAGUAUUUCCAUCAAAUAAAGGGUAACUGACUUCCUCAGUCCCUGGAACCCGCACAGCACUGUGAAAUGCUGGUUUAGAGAGGAUGUGCAUCCUGACUGCAAGCUAAACGUGAUGAUUAAAAAUAUUCAUUCUUUCAGAAGAUCUGUGAAAUUUCCAUCUCUGACUAGCAAUCAAUUAAAUAUAAACCAUAUAAUAGGAUUAAAGUCCCAAGGGCAAAUAUGUUUUGAAGAUGGGGCUGGAGGAUGGCUAUCUGAGGAAGAUGUAAAGCCUCAGCAUGGGUCUGUGGCAAUGGCAAGCAAGAAAUAUGCGGAACAGUCAACAGGUAGGGGCUCUUACAGGGAUGGAAUUGGGAUGUUUUAC
ensembl:lncRNA